CGUAGGUGCAAGCGUUAUCCGGAAUUAUUGGGCGUAAAGGGCUCGUAGGCGGUUCGUCGCGUCCGGUGUGAAAGUCCAUCGCUUAACGGUGGAUCCGCGCCGGUACGGGCGGGCUUGAGUGCGGUAGGGAGACUGGAAUUCCCGGUGUAACGGUGGAAUGUGUAGAUAUCGGGAAGAACACCAAUGGCGAAGGCAGGUCUCUGGGCCGUUACUGACGCUGAGGAGCGAAAGCGUGGGGAGCGAACAGGAUU
rnacentral:rRNA from 1 species